UUUUUUUUUUUUUUUUUUAAAUAAGGAAGCUUUUAAUGGGAUAUAUAAAAAAGAAAAAAAAGGAAAGCUACCAAAGUAGAGUACCGUGUACCUUUCAUGAUAAAGGUUACUAGCGUUAUAACGAUCAGUAACUAGAUAAUGGUCGUCUUCGUUAACGGAGAUGUCAGACAGAUUAUUCCCCCCAGUUUCUCUUUACUCCCACCUACACGAAUUGUUCCCUCUUAUCAGAUCACGACAAACAGAAAGAAACAGACAGAUAGAUAAACGGAUGGACAGACAGACCGACCGACUGACUGACAAAAAGACAAAGUUCGGUCAGAUUUUGUGAAAUUUGUAACACGAAGAGAAACAAGUUUCAUUUAAUUUUUGAUUUAACGUCGUUUAAAAGAUCGUGCGUGUGCAAAUAUAGAUUAUCAUUGAUUUAAAAAUAUUGAAGUGAUAUUUUUCGAAAUACUACAUUUCGAGAACAAUAUCGGAAGAUUUUCAACGACCUUUCCUCCGUGUAAAAUACAAGUAAAAGAAAGAAAAUCUAUUGUCGUUGAUGUUGUUUUUGUUCCAUCGUAUCCCUUAAAUUUAUCUAAAAAGAUAAGAGAAAACGAGAGAGAAGAAGAAAGAGAGAGAGAGAGAGAGAGAGAGAGAGAGAGAGAGAGA